AAUCAGCGCUGGCGGCGUGCCUCAGACAUGCAAGUCGAACGAUUAAAGCUCUCUUCGGAGAGUGUAUAGAGUGGCGCACGGGUGAGUAACACGUAAGUAAUCUACCUUCGAGUGGGGGAUAACGUCCGGAAACGGACGCUAAUACCGCAUAAUGCAGCGGCAUCGCAAGAUGACAGUUGUUAAAGAUUUAUCGCUUGAAGAGGAGCUUGCGGCAGAUUAGCUAGUUGGUAAGGUAAUGGCUUACCAAGGCUACGAUCUGUAACCGGUCUAAGAGGACGGUCGGUCACACUGACACUGAAUAACGGGUCAGACUCCUACGGGAGGCAGCGGUCGGGAAUUUUGGGCAAUGGGCGAAAACCUGACCCAGCAACGCCGCGUGAAGGAUGAAGUAUUUCGGUAUGUAAACUUCGAAAGAAUAGGAAGAAUAAAUGACGGUACUAUUUAUAAGGUCCGGCUAACUACGUGCCAGCCGCCGCCGUAA
rnacentral:rRNA from 1 species